UACGAAGGGGGCUAGCGUUGCUCGGAAUUACUGGGCGUAAAGCGCACGUAAGCGGCUUGUUAAGUCAGGGGUGAAAUCCUGGAGCUCAACUCCAGAACUGCCUUUGAUACUGGCGAGCUUGAGUUCGGGAGAGGUGAGUGGAACUGCGAGUGUAGAGGUGAAAUUCGUGGAUAUUCGCAAGAACACCAGUGGCGAAGGCGGCUCACUGGCCCGAUACUGACGCUGAGGUGCGAAAGCGUGGGGAGCAAACAGG
rnacentral:rRNA from 1 species